AGUGAACGCUGGCGGUAGGCCUAACACAUGCAAGUCGAACGGCAGCACAGUAAGAGCUUGCUCUUACGGGUGGCGAGUGGCGGACGGGUGAGGAAUACAUCGGAAUCUACUUUUUCGUGGGGGAUAACGUAGGGAAACUUACGCUAAUACCGCAUACGACCUACGGGUGAAAUCAGGGGAUCUUCGGACCUUGCGCGAUUGAAUGAGCCGAUGUCGGAUUAGCUAGUUGGCGGGGUAAAGGCCCACCAAGGCGACGAUCCGUAGCUGGUCUGAGAGGAUGAUCAGCCACACUGGAACUGAGACACGGUCCAGACUCCUACGGGAGGAAGCAGUGGGGAAUAUUGGACAAUGGGCGAAAGCCUGAUCCAGCCAUGCCGCGUGGGUGAAGAAGGCCUUCGGGUUGUAAAGCCCUUUUGUUGGGAAAGAAAAGCAGCAGGUUAAUACCCCGCUGUUCUGACGGUACCCAAAGAAUAAGCACCGGCUAACUUCGUG
rnacentral:rRNA from 1 species